rnacentral:lncRNA from 1 species
AAUCAAAGGAAAUAGACUGACAGAAUGGAUUAAGAAGCAAAAUCCAGCAAUAUGCUGUAUACAAGAAACACACCUAACUCAAAAAGAAAUUCAUAGACUGAAAGUAAAAGGAUGGAAAAUGGCUCUCCACACAACAUGAACCCAGGAAAAAGCAGGGGUAGCAAUCUUCUUUGCAGACAAAGUAGAUUUCAAACCAAAACUAAUUAAGACAGACAAAGAUGGUCACUACAUUCUUGUGAAGGGGACAAUCCAAGAGGAAGAGAUGACAAUCCUAAAUAUAUAUGCACCAAAUACGAAUGCCCCCAACUGUACAAAACAAAUAUUAAUGGACAUGAAAAACCAAAUAAGCACUAAUGCAAUUGUAGUGGGGGACCUCAAUACCCCACUAUCACAAAUAGACAGAUCAUCUAGACAAAAAAUUAACAAAUUCUAGAACUGAGCCAAGCUAUUGAACAAAUGGACUUAAUAGAUGUUUACAGAGUGUUCCACCCCGUAAAAUCAGAAUACACAUUCUUUGUGACUGCACACGGGUCAUUCUCCAAAAUAGACCACAUGCUAGCUCAUAGGAUAUGUCUAAUAUUCUUCACAGAACUAGAGAAAACAAUCCAAAAAUUCAUUUGGAACCAGAAGAGGUCUAGAAUAGCAAAAGCAAUUCUAGGCAACACAGACAUGGCUGAGGUAUCACAAUCCCCAACUUGAAACUCUACUACAAAGCUACUGUGAUAAAAACAGCAUGGUACUGGCAAAGAAACAGACCUGAGGAUCAGUGGAAUAGAUCAGAAGAUGCAGAAACAACUUCAGACAUACUCAGCAACCUCAUCUUUGACAAAGGAGCCAACCACCCUCAUUGGAGGAAAGAUAGCCUAUUUAAUCAAUGGUGUUGGAAAAACUGGAUUUCAACCUGCCAAAGAUUGAAACUAGACCCAUACCUAUCACCAUGCACUAAACUAAGAUCGAAGUGGAUUAAAUAUAUAAAUAUUAAGACAGAAACACUAAACUUGCUAGAAGAUAUGUUAGGUAGAACUCUUCAAGACAUUGGCAUAGGAAAAGACUUCAUGAACAAAACCUCAGUAGCACGGAAACUAGCACAAAGAAUCAGUAACUGGGAUCUCAUCUUAUUAAAAAGCU